GACGAACGCUGGCGGCGUGCUUAACACAUGCAAGUCGAACGGAAAGGCCCUGCUUUUGUGGGGUGCUCGAGUGGCGAACGGGUGAGUAACACGUGAGUAACCUGCCCUUGACUUUGGGAUAACUUCAGGAAACUGGGGCUAAUACCGGAUAGGAGCUCCUGCUGCAUGGUGGGGGUUGGAAAGUUUCGGCGGUGGGGGAUGGACUCGCGGCUUAUCAGCUUGUUGGUGGGGUAGUGGCUUACCAAGGCUUUGACGGGUAGCCGGCCUGGGGGGGUGACCGGCCACAUUGGGACUGAGAUACGGCCCAGACUCCUACGGGAGGCAGCAGUGGGGAAUAUUGCACAAUGGGCGGAAGCCUGAUGCAGCAACGCCGCGUGCGGGAUGACGGCCUUCGGGUUGUAAACCGCUUUCGCCUGUGACGAAGCGUGAGUGACGGUAAUGGGUAAAGAAGCACCGGCUAACUACGUG
rnacentral:rRNA from 1 species